AGAGUUUGAUCAUGGCUCAGAUUGAACGCUGGCGGCGGGCCUAACACAUGCAAGUCGAGCGAGAAAGCACUUCGGUGUGAGUAGAGCGGCGGACGGGUGAGUAACGCGUAGGAAUUUGCCCAGUAGUGGGGGACAACAUGUGGAAACGCAUGCUAAUACCGCAUACGCCCUAUGGGGGAAAGCAGGGGAUCUUCGGACCUUGCGCUAUUGGAGAAGCCUGCGUCGGAUUAGCUAGUUGGUGGGGUAAAGGCCCACCAAGGCGACGAUCCGUAGCUGGUCUGAGAGGAUGAUCAGCCACACUGGGACUGAGACACGGCCCAGACUCCUACGGGAGGCAGCAGUGGGGAAUAUUGGACAAUGGGGGCAACCCUGAUCCAGCCAUGCCGCGUGUGUGAAGAAGGCCUUAGGGUUGUAAAGCACUUUCAGUAGGGAGGAAAAGUUAGUAGUUAAUAACUGCUAACCCUGACGUUACCUACAGAAGAAGCACCGGCAAACUCCGUGCCAGCAGCCGCGGUAAUACGGAAGGUGCGAGCGUUAAUCGGAAUUACUGGGCGUAAAGCGCGCGUAGGCGGCCUGAUAAGUUGGAUGUGAAAGCCCUGGGCUCAA
rnacentral:rRNA from 1 species